rnacentral:tRNA from 1 species
GCCUCGGUAGUCUAAAGGCUUAGGACGCUUGCACGGAAUGUCAGAGAUCCGGGUUCGAUUCCCGGCUGAGAUA